UGAUAACAACUUUCUGCAUUCCUUGUUCUGAAUUACAAUCAUGCUUCUUUUAUGUGCUGGACUUUUGUCUUGCUUUAUGCAAUUGAAGAAGUUGGUAGCCAGUUUUGAAAUCUUUUCUCACUUGCUUUGACAUUGAUUUGACUCAAAUACACGAGAAAAAUGACUUUCCAUUUGAAUAACUAACUCAAGAAAAUAAAAUAAAAAUAUAAAUAAAG
rnacentral:lncRNA from 1 species